CGAGAAAAGUAUCAUGGAAAAUAAGACAUGCUUGACCACAAGAAAUGUGGUCUUCUGCAAAAAUCAGCUAUUUCCGCUUUUAGCAACGUUUAUCUUUUGUAAGCAUAUUUUGACCAAUGUAUGUCAAAGUUCAUGAUCAAUACUGUAUAAAUAUGCCAUCCUUUUUAUAAUACACUUGAAGAUUAUGGAAAGCAAAGAGUGUGUGUCUGGUUAAUAUGCUUCCAUAAAAAUCUUCCCUGAAUAUUCAGCUGACAAUCGAGGGUUGGAGAAUAGUGACCAGAGGGACCGAGUCACCAGAGUAGCAGAUUUACCUUUCAGCUUGGUGGCAGCGGUGGGAUUGUAGCCAAAACCAUUUUGGGUGAGUAGUAAUUCCUUGUGUCUAUCUUGACGCCCUGAAUCUAUGAUCCCCAUGGUUUUGUAAGUCUACAUCAUUUUAGGAAAGGUUAUUUAGUAUAUGUGUUUUCUGUGACUCAGUUUUACAUAAGGUCCCGUUAAAUUAGUCUAGUAAGGGAACUAGACAGAGAGAUAUAUGUAUUUCUAGUAAGUGAACUAGAGAAGGUCUAAUAAGAGAAUUGGACAGAUAAAGUCUAUAAAGUGAUAUAGACAGAGAAUUUAGUAUAUAAGUGAAUAUACUACGAUAGUGUGCACAGAGUUUCAGGUUCACCUUGUCCACCCUCUAAUUGUCAUUAGUUAAGUCUGGUUCUGAGUGUGAAUAAGUGUUUGAAAAAUUUGUCCUAGAAAUGGGAAAUUACCAUGCAAGAAUAUGAAGUAGUUAACUUUUCUUGUUCAUAUGUAUUUUAUGCUUAAAUAAGGUUUAUAAUCAUUAGUGCUGACUGUAAGGAUAUGAAAUAGUUAAACUCUUUUUGCUUUAUAUGCUAGCCCUGAAAAUAUACUCACUGAGAAUCUUGUUAAAGCACAUUUGUAGUGUCCAUGUCUUUAUUGCAAACAAUGACUCUCCAUUAAUUGGGUGAUUGUCUAUAUUGGGGACACACUUUGGUAAGUUAGUAGUGUGUCCACCCUGAGUCAGCAGUAUGGGAAAUGUAAGUUCUGGUCCUGAGUGACCAAUAUAUAUACAUAUAUAUAUAUAUAUAAUAGCAGAACUGUAUAUUAGAAAAGAACUGACUCGCAGGUUGUACCUGAUAGACCUACUUAAAUCUUUUGCUUUAUUCUUUCUGUCGCAUAGAAGUAUAAGUUUAUUACUCUGUUGUAUUGUAAGUUAUUUCACAUGGGAUCUGUGUGCCUGAUAUGAUUGUUGCUUUAAUACCAUAAGCCCACUACACUUUCUAUGAGAGUGGGAUAGUGUAAACGUGUUGCAUUGUUUGCAUGAUGAGCUCAGUAUUUUUAUAACUGAGACAAAAGUCACUUCAUUAGUAUUUGAAAGUUAAUUCCCCAGAUGGGAUUAAUUGUAUAGAAACACCAAUCAGCACAUCUUCCCUGCCCUGUGUGUUUGUUGCAAAGGAUCCAUACCAUUAAUAUGAUUUUUGUUUGUAAAUAAGGGAGCAACAUUUACAUUUUCAGCGGUCCAACACAUGCUUCAUUUUGUGCUGUAAGCUAACCUUUUUAUUGCUACAGAUGCUUUAAAUGAUUCAGCUACUGCAUAUGUUUUGUGUCUUCUAUGUCUCACAUUAUAUGUGUUCUGUUCUUUUAAAUUGUGGUAUAUAGCCUGGAUCAGAGAUUAUGGACAAAGGUUUCUACCUGUUUUACUAAGGCUCUUGGAGACUGACCGGUCUAAGGUUUGCCAUGCCUUUUAAACAUGGUAUAGAAUAAUUUUUUUUUAAGUCUCUGAGAGUUCUGUAAGAUUCUGGUGAAACCAUGUCUGUGUAAUCUGGUCCAGAUGUUUGCUCAAUUUCUAUAAAAUUUAAGUUGAUGCAGUAUCAUCUCAGAUUAGUUAAUGGAAGUUUCAUACAAAUAUAUGAGUUAUGAGUGCGCUAUAUAAAUGGAUCCUUUCUCUAUAUACAAUACUAUAGUAGAUUAAAGUAAUGAAGUUAAUAAGAAUUAAAAAAAAAAAAAAGUAUACAUAAGAAUCCCUAAAAUAAAUCUAAUAUAAACUAAAAUUGGUAUACCUUACAAUAAUAUGUUCUGAGUACAGCUGUUAACUGUUUAUUCUGUGUAAAUGGUGACUGUGAUAAUGUGUGAAGUGUGCAGCUUAACUGGAAAGUGGUUUAAUUGAUAUGUUGCUGUGUUGUUUUAAAUUAUAUGUGAAUCAGUUUGUCUCAGUUUAGUGAUACUGAUACAAAUGCCAGCCAAAUAACCCAGCAAAUAACGGUUUUAUUAGCUGUUGAAUACUAGCAUUCUGGCCAAGAGUAGUUGGAGUAGUUCUAUGAGCUCAGAGAGGCUCUGUGUUGUGUUCUGAUAUAGCUAUAUGGGAAUGGAGAUUUGGAGGUGUUAGUUUAAGACUGCUUUCAUAUUGUGUCUACCCGUGUUUCCUAGGAGGGACACAGAGUGUGUAGUUGCGUGCUCAUGAAUGUGUUUUCUAUAUUGGCAUAUCUGCUGGGUACCCGAUACGUGUAUCUACUACGUCUGUUUUGUGAGAUGUCUGUUUUGUGAGAUGACAUGUAAUAUUACAUUGGAUGCUGAGUAUGAGUUAUAUGGUUUGAAAUGAAUUGGUGUGUUAUGUGUUUCAUGUAUUUUAUUGUCCAUUGUGUAGGAGUUUAACUAGCAGAGUGAUUUGCAUAUCAUUAACGCAAGCAUUUAGUGUUUUUACAAAAGGUGAAAUGCUGUCCAGCCGGCUAGAAUGAAACAAUUGUAUGCUAUCGCUCCUGGAGCAAGAAAAGCGCUUGUUACAUCCCACGUGAAAGGGGCCCCGCAAACUUCUGCUGUUCAAAUCGUGGAUCCACGUUUCCAUUUGCAAAUUGAUUAAUCCUGAAAGUCAUUCUUUUACUGAUAAAAAGGAUAAAUGGACAAGAUGUCUCUCCCUCAUAAAGGAGUUCUAAUAGGGGAGUAUUGUCCAGCUCAGAGUUAACUCUACUUUUAAAGUAUAUUGCAUUGUUUGUGUCAAAGUAAGAUUCAUCUAAUAUGCCUCAUUGAUUAUGGGAUAAUAAUAAAAUUGUAUUUUUAAUAGGGAUUAGACAAAUUUCUGAAAUUUAUAAGUGAGGUAAUUUUAAUCUCCUAAACUACUGUAUUAUAUUUGUAUGGGUAAAUUGAAAGCAUUUUGCAGAUCCAGAAGAGCAUUAAUAAAUAAUAUAAUAAUCUCACUACGUGCCAAUUUAUGCAAAGAGGCUAUCCAAAGUACGCACUAACGGGUUAAACUUGUUUUCUUGAUAAGCGUAUAACAUUUAGUUUUGUGGUUAGACUUUUGAUACUCAAUUUGAAAUAUGUCCCAAUUACAUCCUUGCAUGGCACCAGGUACAGGUAGCAAUAUGUGUUUUAAAAAUUUGCAAGGUCUUAGUGUUUUCAAUAUAUUAUAAUAAUGGAAAAGUACCUAACCGCAUGUCUGCAUUACGCUCAUGACACAGACUGUCAGUAUUGCAAGCCCUAUAUGAAGGCUAUGCUUUCAUUGUUGAUGUAUAUACCCCUAGACAACCUUGCUUUAUAUACAAAAUGUAACUAUCCAUACAGCCUUUAAAAGCUUAUUAAUAUUAUAUCUGUGUGGUACACAAAGAGGGGGCUGUGAGUUAGGUAAUCCCAUCCUGCAUAUGGAAUAAAGGCAGAGGUAGAGGAUUUAGUCAAAGGGUCUAACUUUUGUAGAGGUAACAACUUCAGCAUUGGUGGAACACACUGUUCUAAUUGUGGAUAGCAGGGUCACUGGAAAAAUGAGGGCCCAAACCCACCCCCACAGAUUCCUCAAUACCAACCAUAGCUUCCAACCUAUACCCACACCCAACAACCCCAGCCUAAUACACAGAUGGUUCAUGUUUGUAAUAUUUUAUAUAGUUUUAGGUGUUAAUCCAAGAGUAUUGAAUUAUUCGGGAUUAUUAAAGUAAUUAAUUUUGAAUAUCAGAUCAAGGUUCCAGUUUAGGAACAGAGUUUUAUUGGGAAUUAUCCCCAUAUGUAUAUGUUAGUGUUUUAAUAUUCAUCCUAACAAGGAUUUCUAUAGAGUGAGUGCUACUCUCAUCCGUGCAAAGGCAUUCCAAAGGGGUAUUAUGUAAAACUUUAUAGAAGACAGAUUGCAUAAAAUAUAAGAGAAGUACAUGUUACACAAAUUAAGGGUUUAACCUUAAUCUCUAAUUUAAGUUUUAGCCUAGAUAAUUAAUUAAUGUUGUAUUGAUCCUUGUGUUUGUAUGUUUGUAGAGACCGUCCUGGAGUGUUUGUGCCGCCUGAUUUCUGGGACUACACACUAAUCUCUCUGGCUGACCAUGCAAUAAGUAUUUUGCAAUUACAUCUGUUUGGUCAUUAUCCAUGCAGGCCGAAGAAACUGAGAUACUUAUUUAUGAGGACAUAAACUUUGCACGCAAGAACCUGGAAAGUCCUGAAGGUGCAGUGCUGUCUAAUGCCGCUGGUUCUGUAAUAACCCUUUCAACCAUUGGGGUGUUGCACAGAGCUUUGUGGUGAAAAUCCAGCAAACAAAAGAAGAACUAAGAACUAUAUGGAAGCUGACAUUGUCUUGUUGUCAGCCAUAUUGCUACCCUUAGCCAUUUUUAUGGAACAAAAUGUCUGGUGUCUAAACUGAUUUCUUUAUACUCUGUGAAAUACUUAUUCUAUUUUUCUGGACUAUGCUGAACUAUUGAACUAAUUUUAUUUUCAUUUUUGUAGAGUUAGCCAGAGAGAGAGGAAGUGUUAGCUGACCCAGGGAUGGAUGUACUAUGUGUAUCUUUGAUGUAUGUUGAGUGUGCCAAGGAUGGAUUCCCAUGUUUUGAGGAACUGCGUGAGGAUAUGACUGGUUUUGACUGGACUUUUGGAAUAGCGAAAAGGUUAAAAAAUAUAGGACGCAAGGUCCUGGUUGUGAUUAUUGUCAGAAUUUCAAGCUAGAUUAUAAUUUAUCUCAUGAAUUAAUAUGUAAGAAGUGUUUCCCAAUUCCUCCCAAUACCCAAGCUAUGUACUCACAGGUGCGGGUAUUAUAAGUCAUAAGUGGUGUCAACUGUGAGGGGAUGACAUGUCUAACACGAUCGCGGCCCCCACUCAGGUUUUCCCUAAAUGUUCUUUUUCCUCAAAUAUGAGUUUUUGCCACUGGGUUUUUGCCUGGCCAAAGAUCAUCGGGUGGACUGGUAAUCCUAGACCCGGGUCAUUGGACGGGGGAUAGGUAUUAUUCCCACUUUGACUAUAUGCGCCCACUUGCGUGGAUGAAGGAGGAAAACAACUAUUGGGAAUAAUAUACUUUGCCCAUAUUUACCUAGGGCUUAUGAUACAGAUGGCAUGUUGGUUAGUCUGUUUAAAAUUGGUUAACAUGUCAGCUAUUUGCAAUAAUUAUUGUUAUGGUUCUGGUCCUUGCUCUACUUGUUUAUGCUAUUUUUAAGACUAUUGUAUUCUGCAUUUACAAACAUACAUGCAACACUGUUCCUGUAAAAUCCCCAGCUUGCUAUGAUGAGUAUCUCCAAAUGUAUACACAUAACCGAAGCAAUGGUGAACAUGCUGAUACAGAUCUAUAAGUUUGUGGUACUGGUCAGAUGACUAGUCCUAUGCUAUGGGAAUAGUGGCCGAAGACAUAAUGAAAGACCUGCAGGAUUGACUAGCAAACCCGAAUAUACCAUGGCAGAUGGCUGGUUGUCUGACCAAGACUCCUUAAAUGGGGUAUGAGCAAGGUCUUGCUCAAAGAGGGGAAUGAAGGGAAGGGGUUAAUGAUUCUCAUCUAUAAUUUCUGAUAUUAUAUUCUCUUUCUUAAGAUUUACACAAGAGCUAAAAACUAGACAAACCACAGGUUAUUUUUGAUUUAUCACUUCUGCUUUUGAAUCAACAGACGCAUCCGCAAAGUAACGUUGACCUGAUGCUUCCGAGAAAAGUAUCAUGGAAAAUAAGACAUGCUUGACCACAAGAAAUGUGGUCUUCUGCAAAAAUCAGCUAUUUCCGCUUUUAGCAACGUUUAUCUUUUGUAAGC